AUUGAACGCUGGCGGCAGGCCUAACACAUGCAAGUCGAACGGUAACAGGAAGAAGCUUGCUUCUUUGCUGACGAGUGGCGGACGGGUGAGUAAUGUCUGGGCAACUGCCUGAUGGAGGGGGAUAACUACUGGAAACGGUAGCUAAUACCGCAUAACGUCGCAAGACCAAAGAGGGGGACCUUCGGGCCUCUUGCCAUCGGAUGUGCCCAGAUGGGAUUAGCUAGUAGGUGGGGUAACGGCUCACCUAGGCGACGAUCCCUAGCUGGUCUGAGAGGAUGACCGGCCACACUGGAACGGAGACACGGUCCAGACUCCUACGGGAGGCAGCAGUGGGGAAUAUUGCACAAUGGGCGCAAGCCUGAUGCAGCCAUGCCGCGUGUAUGAAGAAGGCCUUCGGGUUGUAAAGUACUUUCAGCGGGGAGGAAGGGAGUAAAGUUAAUACCUUUACUCAUUGACGUUACCCGCAGAAGAAGCACCGGCUAACUACGUG
rnacentral:rRNA from 1 species